GGUGGGGUGCCGGAGUGGCUGAACGGGGCGGUCUCGAAAACCGUUGUGCGUGAAAGCGUACCGUGGGUUCAAAUCCCACCCCCACCGCCA
rnacentral:tRNA from 1 species